ACCGAAGUAGCUCAGUUGGGAGAGCGUUAGACUAUAGAUCGAAAGGUCUCUGGUUCGAUCCCAGGUUCCGGAA
rnacentral:tRNA from 1 species